AUUGAACGCUGGCGGCGGGCCUAACACAUGCAAGUCGAGCGAGCCGCGGGCGGGUGAGUAAUGUAUGAGGAUCUCCCUAAUGGAGGGGGAUAACUACUGAAAACGGUAGAUACUCCCGCAUACCAUCAGCUGAACCCAUAUGCGAUUAGCUUGUAGGUGAGUGACCGGCUCACCUAGGCGACGAUCCCUAGCUGGUCUGAGAGGAUGAUGAGCAACACUGGUACGGAGACACGGCCCCGACUCGUACGGGAGGCAGCAGUGGGGAAUAUUGGACAAGUGGCGCAAGCCUGAUGUAGCCAUGCCGCGUGUAUGAAGAAGGCCUUCGGGUUGUAAAGGACUUUCAGUCGGGAGGCGUUACCGACAGAAGAAGCACCGGCUAACUCCGUGCCAGCAGCCGCGGUAAUUC
rnacentral:rRNA from 1 species